GAAUUAAGAGCGGUUUGAAAACCCUGUAAAACAGAUUUGAGCAAAAUCAUAAAUCAGUAAUUUGAAUAGGGAGGACACAUAUGUAUCGUAGCUAAGUUACAUAUUUUCAAGAAAUUAAUUUUAAGAUGAAUUUUUAGGGAUAUGUUUAAAGGGGAUCUAUACAUGGACAACAAUGAGAAGAGAGGAAAUUCAUGAAGAAUGUAAAAACAGAAACAAAGAGGAGUGCUUUUGUUUUGGAGUAAAGCCUCAAAAUAUUUCAAAUGAGAACGCAGAACCUUUAAUGAAAUAUAGGAUCCAUUUUGUUUGUGCUCAGAUUAGAUAUGAGGCUUUCAAGAAGCCACGUGUUUACUAACACUUGCUGAGAUAGAGAAUGAACUGUAGAUAUGUAUGAGAGCAAAUCGCCAGAAUUUGAAGUUUAGCCAGAAAAAAGAACAGAUUUCCCACAAUUUGUACUCAAUUCUCCAUAAAUUUUAAGAAUGAUUUUCAGAUCUAUAAAAAAAAAAAGAGAGAAAAAACACCAAAUGAAUAUUCUAAAAAGAGGAAAAUGAACACUAAUCUUUUAGAUGAAACGACGUCGUUUGUAAACCUACUCACUUCCAAGUGGCUCAACGAAUUCAACUCAAUUCAAAAUGGCCGAGCUGACCACAAAUGCGACUUGUGAAUAGUAACUUAUAACUGAC
rnacentral:lncRNA from 1 species